CCACGGAGUGCUUGACUAUCUCACAGAAAUCUUUUUAACCAAAUGACUAGCACUUUAUAAUACAAAGGCAUGGGGCAGAGGGUAACGGAAAGGGAGAAGGAG